UACGGAGGGUGCAAGCGUUGUCCGGAAUCACUGGGCGUAAAGGGUGCGUAGGUGGCGGGGUAAGUCAGGUGUGAAAUCUCGGAGCUCAACUCCGAAACUGCACUUGAUACUGCCUUGCUCGAGUACUGGAGAGGAGAUUGGAAUUUACGGUGUAGCAGUGAAAUGCGUAGAUAUCGUAAGGAAGACCAGUGGCGAAGGCGAAUCUCUGGACAGUUACUGACACUGAGGCACGAAGGCCAGGGGAGCAAACAGG
rnacentral:rRNA from 1 species